CGAGGGGGGCAAGUGUUGUUCGGAAUCACUGGGCGUAAAGGGAGCGUAGGCGGAUGCUUAAGUUGGAUGUUUAAAACCGGGGCCUAACCUCGGAGCGGCAUCCAAAACUGGGCAUCUUGAAUAGGUCAGAGGCUGGUGGAAUUGGAGGUGUAGCGGUGGAAUGCGUAGAGAUCUCCAAGAACACCUAUUGCGGAGGCAGCCAGCUGGGACCAUAUUGACGCUGAGGCUCGAAAGCAUGGGGAGCAAACAGGAUUAGAUACCCUGGUAGUCCAUGCCGUAAACGAUGAACACUAGGUUUUGGGCUCGUCAACGGUCCAGAGCCGCAGCUAACGCGUUAAGUGUUCCGCCUGGGGAAUACGGUCGCAAGACUG
rnacentral:rRNA from 1 species